UACGAAGGGGGGCUAGCGUUGUUCGGAUUUACUGGGCGUAAAGGGCGCGUAGGCGGGCUGAUCAGUCAGGGGUGAAAUCCCAAGGCUCAACCUUGGAACUGCCUUUGAUACUGUCGGUCUUGAGUUCGAGAGAGGUAAGUGGAACUGCGAGUGUAGAGGUGAAAUUCGUAGAUAUUCGCAAGAACACCAGUGGCGAAGGCGGCUUACUGGCUCGAAACUGACGCUGAGGUGCGAAAGCGUGGGGAGCAAACAGG
rnacentral:rRNA from 1 species